CACUCAUGCACCAUGGCGCGUAGCAGGCGUUGAGACACCGAUUGAAACUCAGUAAUGCAUUAAACGCGCUCAAAACGCGCAUUUACACGCUUUCGUAGGCUGCGACGAGCGCGCGCCAAAUGCAGACGCUCUCCACAGCUUCAGUACAAAGUGACUACAGCGCCGCCGCUACUGUCGCCCGUCGGAGCAUCACCCGAGAUGCGGCGCGGCCGCUUCGUUCGUUCCACUGCCCCCUACUGUAGCGCGGAUACGCAUGGCUGCAUUGUAAAGCGCGGCUGCGGCACCCUCCUGCUCCUGCUUUUUGUGCAUCUGUCAUUGAAAGCGAUGUAUGUCUGCAGUCUCUGUGGUACCACCGAGACGUCUGUGCCACGUUUCAUGAAGUAUGCCGCACUGCACAAAAACAUGGAUGCAUUCUGCAUGAAGUGUCCAUUGGAACAGCACAGAAAAGUUUUCCGAGAGUUCCUUCUCUGAGCUAGUGCUACGAGAUACUAAGGACGAAAAUAGGACUGUAAAGAAAACGAAUAGUCCAAAAGGAUUUAUAUGGUUUUGUGUCAUGGAAGCCCAAAUUACCUGCACUAAGACACAACAAAAUGGAUUAAACUAAGUUGGCACUGAUGCUAUAGUGCCCUAAGGUGGUGCUGCGUCUCUAGCUACCAGAAGGCAAGUACAAGUGAAGAUCACGUCGGAGACGUGCUGUGCUCCCCUUUCAUCAUUGCCAAAGGAAAGAGCUUUCUGACUGCCGGGGUAUUUACCAUCUGUAUUGGUACCCAUGCUGUGAUCGAAUCCACCACACCGUGCCAGGCAUUCAAGUUGAUGUUCUUUACACACUUCGCCUUUACUAUUGAAUACCGCAAGGAGGUCAGCCUAACCCUGGUGUUCACACAAAGGGCAGCCGCAGCAGUCAACCCUGACAGAGGGCGCAAGGUCGAGAAGUCAAGGAAGCAGCGCCGCCUCACACCACAAAGACCAACUUAAUCAAAGCUCUGCGAGACUAUGAAUGCUAAAUGUUACAACGAAAAAUUUGCAGUGUCAUUAUGAAUAUACCGUAUUUACUCGAAUCUAAGCCGAUGUUUUUUUUUUUUUUUUCGAAAAAACGAUGUGCGACAGGAAGGGGGGGGGAGGGGUCUGCUUAGAUUCGAGUGCAAUGAUUAAGUUUUUUUUUGCUGGCCUCGCGAAUUUCGCGGGUCGGCUUAUAAUCAGCGCCGGCCUAGAUUCGAGUAAAUACGGUAUAUCUACACAUUUUCCAAACCAGUUUGAAUCUACGGUGACAACAUGUACGCAGUUUUCAUUAUUUUGAAGCUGUUUACAUGCAGCAUUUCCUGCGCUUUAAUAAAGAUUCGUUUCUUUUAUCAUGAAA